UACGUAGGUGGCAAGCGUUGUCCGGAUUUACUGGGCGUAAAGGAUGCGUAGGCGGACAUUUAAGUCAGAUGUGAAAUACCCCGAGCUUAACUUGGGUGCUGCAUUUGAAACUGGGUGUCUAGAGUGCAGGAGAGGUAAGUGGAAUUCCUAGUGUAGCGGUGAAAUGCGUAGAGAUUAGGAAGAACACCAGUGGCAAGGCGACUUACUGGACAGUUACCGACGCUGAGGCACGAAAGCUAGGGGAGCAAACAGG
rnacentral:rRNA from 1 species